ACACAUGCAAGUCGAACGGUGAUGCCCAGCUUGCUGGGUGGAUCAGUGGCGAACGGGUGAGUAACACGUGAGCAACCUGCCCCCUACUUCGGGAUAAGCCUUGGAAACGGGGUCUAAUACCGGAUAUGAGCACCGACCGCAUGGUGGGUGUUGGAAAGUUUUUCGGUGGGGGAUGGGCUCGCGGCCUAUCAGCUUGUUGGUGGGGUAAUGGCCUACCAAGGCGUCGACGGGUAGCCGGCCUGAGAGGGCGACCGGCCACACUGGGACUGAGACACGGCCCAGACUCCUACGGGAGGCAGCAGUGGGGAAUAUUGCACAAUGGGCGAAAGCCUGAUGCAGCGACGCCACGUGAGGGAUGACGGCCUUCGGGUUGUAAACCUCUUUCAGCAGGGAAGAAGCGCAAGUGACGGUACCUGCAGAAGAAGCGCCGGCUAACUACGUGCCAGCAGCCGCGGUAAUACGUAGGGCGCAAGCGUUGUCCGGAAUUAUUGGGCGUAAAGAGCUCGUAGGCGGUCUGUCGCGUCUGGUGUGAAAUCCCAUGGCUCAACUGUGGGCUUGCAUCGGGUACGGGCAGACUAGAGUGCUGUAGGGGAGACUGGAAUUCCUGGUGUAGCGGUGGAAUGCGCAGAUAUCAGGAGGAACACCGAUGGCGAAGGCAGGUCUCUGGGCAGUUACUGACGCUGAGGAGCGAAAGCAUGGGGAGCGAACAGGAUUAGAUACCCUGGUAGUCCAUGCCGUAAACGUUGGGCACUAGGUGUGGGGCCAGUUCCACUGGUUCUGUGCCGCAGCUAACGCAUUAAGUGCCCCGCCUGGGGAGUACGGCCGCAAGGCUAAAACUCAAAGGAAUUGACGGGGGCCCGCACAAGCGGCGGAGCAUGCGGAUUAAUUCGAUGCAACGCGAAGAACCUUACCAAGGCUUGACAUGUACGAGAACGCCCCAGAGAUGGGGUUCUCUUUGGACACUCGUACACAGGUGGUGCAUGGUUGUCGUCAGCUCGUGUCGUGAGAUGUUGGGUUAAGUCCCGCAACGAGCGCAACCCUUAUCCUUUGUUGCCAGCGGGUUAUGCCGGGG
rnacentral:rRNA from 1 species